rnacentral:rRNA from 1 species
AUUGAACGCUGGCGGCAUGCUUUACACAUGCAAGUCGAACGGUAACAGGCCGCAAGGUGCUGACGAGUGGCGAACGGGUGAGUAAUGCAUCGGAACGUGCCCAGUCGUGGGGGAUAACGCAGCGAAAGCUGCGCUAAUACCGCAUACGAUCUAUGGAUGAAAGCGGGGGACCGUAAGGCCUCGCGCGAUUGGAGCGGCCGAUGUCAGAUUAGGUAGUUGGUGGGGUAAAGGCUCAUCAAGCCAACGAUCUGUAGCUGGUCUGAGAGGACGACCAGCCACACUGGGACUGAGACACGGCCCAGAUUCCUACGGGAGGCAGCAGUGGGGAAUUUUGGACAAUGGGCGCAAGCCUGAUCCAGCAAUGCCGCGUGCAGGAAGAAGGCCUUCGGGUUGUAAACUGCUUUUGUACGGAACGAAACGGUCUGGGUUAAUACCUCGGGCUAAUGACGGUACCGUAAGAAUAAGCACCGGCUAACUACGUGCCAGCCGCCGCCGUAAAAC